UCGAGAAUCAUUCACAAUGGGGGAAACCCUGAUGGUGCGACGCCGCGUGGAGGAUAAGGUCUUCGGAUUGUAAACUCCUGUCAUGCGAGAGCAAGAUCUGUGCGGGUAACUCCGCUGGAUUUGAUAGUAUCGCAAGAGGAAGAGACGGCUAACUCUGUGCCAGCAGCCGCGGUAAUACAGAGGUCUCAAGCGUUGUUCGGAAUCACUGGGCGUAAAGGGUGCGUAGGUGGCGUGGAAAGUCAGAUGUGAAAUCCGGGGGCUCAACCUCCGAAUAGCAUCCGAUACUCCCAUGCUAGAGAACUGGAGGGGGAUCUGGAAUUCUCGGUGUAGCAGUGAAAUGCGUAGAUAUCGAGAGGAACACUAGUGGCGAAGGCGAGAUCCUGGACAGUAUCUGACACUGAUGCACGAAGGUCAGGGGAGCAAACG
rnacentral:rRNA from 1 species